ACGCAAAAGAAAAAAUCAGCGCACCCACGUACGCAUGCACGCACGACUAAACUCAGAAAACCAACCCACCUUUCUCCCGUCCCCGCUCAAAAACAGAAAAGAAGGCUAAAAGAUUGGAACACACGCACCCACGACCCAUCUGUCCUCAACCUCCUCUCUUCCGAUUGAGUCUCCUUCCCCAGAAAAAAUCGCCGCCGCCUGUGGUCGCCGCCUUCAUAGCCGCCUCACGAUCCGCCGCCGCCUGUGCUCGCCGCCCUCAUAGCCGCCUCACGAUCCACCGUCACGCUCCUUAUGUAUCUAGAAUGAUGAGGGAAUGCAUCCUGUCCUGUUGCUUGCAUCGGCCAUGGAAAAGAGAUGACUAGGAGAAGAUCCAGCACCACAGCGAGGGCGCCUUGUCCCCGGCGAGCGUCAUCGCAUUGGAUAUGGAUCAGAGGUUGAAGUUAUGACGCGUGGAAAGGCGCGGGGAGGCAGGAACGGGAGCGGCAAGGCGCAGCAGUGGAGGAGGAGCACCGGAGCAAGAUUACGACCUGCGUACGACCUCGUCAGCUCGGACUGGAUGGAGGACAUGGCUCGAGGUAAGCAGUUCUGGGUACUUGAACGUCAUCUUAUCUCAUCUUGGAGAUCUUAUAAAAUUCUGAAUAUGUAUGCUCACUGUAAUCUGAAUACUGACUCGGGUGUGUGAUACGUGGAUGCAUCACUAAGAAGAUACAAGUCUAUGGGGCAUCUUUCUAAAGGAACUUGAUGUAAUUGCUCUUAUACUGUCUUAUGCAAACUAAUAUUUUGGCUAUCAAAGUUGUGUUGUAAGAACUGAUGAUUGGAUCUUCUAAAUAUAAUCGUGUUACUGAAACAGUGAUCUUUUCUCCGUCUACUAGAAUAACCGACUAUUGUUGCACAACCCCCAUCCUUAAGCUAUUCUGUAAUUUUAGUUUUUUUCAAACCGAGGUUAAUUCCUUCGCAUUUAAUAGCAGUGCGUGUGGCAAUGCUUCGUCAUGCUUGUUUUCAUUGGUCGUGUUACGAGUGCAGGAUUCGAAGAAUUUCCAGUGGGGAAAUCAAUGGGGACAUUAACUUCAACUAGGAAAAGUUGCUAUAAAAUAAGAUCGGAGUCAUAACCUUGGUGGAGCACAUUCGUCGUUAACAUCAUGCAUGCAUAAAGAUGAUGCCUAUGACCAAAUAUCAUCAUUCUCCUGCCCAUACUGUUGAAUUUAGCCAACCAGAUGUUUUAAAGCAAAGGCACAUGAUGAAAUAUAUAUUGGUUGCAACUGGUAGCUAUGCACAGGCUAUCCACAUUCUGUAUUACAUGAGAAGGUUUUAGAUCACUUUUAUGGGUGAUGGGAAUGGUAACAAAGUUUUCUUAGCUCCUUUUGUGUUCUUCUGCUUGUGUCUCUGUGCUUUCAAAAUAUUUAAUUUUCUUCCACCUGAUUUACUCAUGGUGAUUUACAAAAUAAAAAAAAUUACGGUACAGGGUACCUACAUAUAUCUAAAACCAUAACCACUGCCAAGAAGCAUAACACAUUUUGCUAGCUCAUCUGAUAUGAAGUAAUAGCUAGCUCCUGCAACUAAAUAUCACCAUUGAUGUAGGCCAGAGUAAUCCAGAAGAAACCUAAAAUAACGAAUAUAAUAUUUUCCUUCCUUGAUAACCCAAAGGCAGAUAAUAGAUGCCAAACUAAGUAGGUUUCGAAAUUGCAACAUGAAAUUCAGUAUUAAUAUGUUAAUAUCAAGAAUUAUUCAUGUGAAACCGGGUGCUUGACUUUGAGUUGGUAGCGUUCCCGUUACUCGCUCGAAUGUUUUUUUGAAAGGUUUUAAUUGUAACAGGAUUUCUUUACCACCUUGUAUUCAUUCGGUAGUUUGCGCUUUAUUUGUAAAGCGAGAUGAAAGUCUGUUUCAAGAACUUUCAUGUGAAGCACCAAGUCAACGACUAUCUAACUUUUCUCAUGUAGCAUGCCAUUGCAGAUAUAUUGCCGUUGAACUAGCUUCUAUCUGGAAUGGGACAAAUCUGAAGUAGAUUUUGCUAUAGAAAACAAAAUCUCUAAGGUGGGAUCGGGAUAGCGCUAGAGAAAUGAUGUACAUGGUGGCUGAGAGGGAGGGGUCAAAAGAAUACAUCCACAUUUCUAACUACGUGGUGCACACAUAAUAGUACGAGGGAAUGGCAUGUGUCAUCUAUAACACGUGCGCGCUCUUUGUUCGAACGUUCAACUGGGAGCAAUUCCAUCUGAUUUGGCAACGAGCAUUGCAGCAAUACAUGCUACGUCUUAGAAACUACUAAAAAAUGUAAUAUAUCUGUGCAUUCUACCCUGCCUAGAGUUUUGCUUAUUUUGGCCCUUCCGUCCAUUGAAUUCAGAAAGACUUUCAAAACUCGACCAGUUUCAGAAUUCAUGCAAGAAAAUGCUAUAUUGAGCGAAGAUACUGCCUAGAAAGUCUGAUGUUAAGAAAGAAGAUAUUAAGAAAACUUUACAGUAGUUGUUGUUGUUGUCAUGGUGAGGCGUGCAUGCAUUCACCACAUGGGGACUGGACGCCGCCAACAACCACUUGGGUGGCUGUGCCACCCCGCUCAGAGAGGGGUUUUCGAUUUGGGGUGUUAUAGGUUUGUAUGAUUUCAAUGGUGGCAGUGGCGAGGGUCUAAAUGCUGAGAGGUGAUAAAUGCUGAGGACACUUUUUUUUGAAUCGACAUAUGUUGCCCUUGAGGAAUGAGCACAUAAUUAUGUAUGUUCUUUUGCCAUACAUAUGUUGUGCUUGACGAAUGAACACAUAAAGGAAUCAAUUGCAAUAUGCGUGUUCUU